UAAAAACCACUGAACCGUUUAUUGUAUGUUUUAUUUAAUACAAAGGUGCGCCAUUUUGUGAUUUUCUUGAAGACUAUAUUCGUUUUAUUUAAUUCUAGUUUUACCUGGUUAACUAUAACCUGUGUAAUCGAUAUUUAAUAAUGGCCACGACGUUCAAUAUAACGCUGUACCUGUUCUCCUGUUUUUGUUCGAUUAUACAAGCUUCUUCGGGCGAGUACUGUUCCUAUUAUGAUAAUAGUUUUAGAAAGACGUUAUCCAGAAAGUAUUGCCCUUAUGGUUGUUGUAACAACGGUAUUGACGCCAACGAUAACAACGUAUGCUGCGAAUACGAUGAAUUCAGGAGUGGGGACUACAACAGGAACCUUACCAAUACCAUCAUAGGAAUCAUAGUAGGUGUAGUGGCGUGUGUUAUAUCCAUCAUAGUGGUGAUAGUUAUUAUAGCAUGCUGUUGUUGUAAACGACAACCAGCAACACAGGGACAUAUUAUUGCAGCCCCGAACUCAACAGUGGUAUAUUCUAAUAGUACAAGUACGGUUCAUCCAGGAGCUGUUUAUCCCCCACAAGGAACUAACAAUUCAGCAUUGCCUCCAACUGGAUAUUCCGAUCCACCACCGUCUUAUGAUGCAGUUACCUCCCCCGGACAAGAUAACAAGGGCUUCCAAACGCAUGUCAAUAUGAAUUAGUUAACUUUUGUGAUUAAGAGUUGGUAUUAACUGUUCAUUAUAUUAACUGUAUAAUUUAUAGCACGGCUUUCAUGGGUUAACAGGUUUAACCAGAGCCCGUAGGCCGAGGUUUUAAACCUAUUAACGAAUGAAGCGUGCUAUAAAUGACUUGUAACGUUGACACCU